GACAGAGGUCUCGAGCGUUAGGCGGAAUCACUGGGCUUAAAGCGUGUGUAGGCGGAUGCCUAAGUACCUUGUGAAAUCCCACGGCUUAACCGUGGAACUGCUUGGUAUACUGGGUGUCUUGAGCCAGCUAGGGGCUACCGGAACAAAUGGUGGAGCGGUGAAAUGCGUAGAUAUCAUUUGGAACGCCAAUGGUGAAAACAGGUAGCUGGGGCUGUGCUGACGCUGAGACACGAAAGCCAGGGGAGCGAACGGG
rnacentral:rRNA from 1 species